rnacentral:rRNA from 1 species
GCGAAUCCCGUGGCAGAAGGUGGGGGAGUAGGGGGGUUGCAAUCGUGAUCCGGAGUGAUUGGGGUUAAAGGGUGUGGAGGCGGAUGUUUAAGUCAGCGGGGAAAUCUCCGGGCUCAACCCGGAAACUGCCAUUGAUACUAUUGGUCUUGAAUAUUGUGGAGGUGGGCGGAACGGGUCAUGUAGCGGUGAAAUGCUUAGAGAUGACCCGGAACACCGAUUGCGAAGGCAGCCCACUACGCAAUGAUUGACGCUGAGGCACGAAAGCGUGGGGAUCAAACAGGAUUAGAUUCCCUAGUAGUC